UACAGAGGGGGCAAGCGUUGUUCGGAAUUACUGGGCGUAAAGGGCGCGUAGGCGGCCUUCUAAGUCGAACGUGAAAUCCCUGGGCUCAACCCAGGAACUGCGUCCGAGACUGGGAGGCUAGAAUCCGGGAGAGGGAUGUGGAAUUCCAGGUGUAGCGAUGAAAUGCGUAGAUAUCUGGAGGAACAUCGGUGGCGAAGGCGGCAUCCUGGACCGGUAUUGACGCUGAGGCGCGAAAGCCAGGGGAGCAAACGGG
rnacentral:rRNA from 1 species